rnacentral:snRNA from 1 species
GAAUGUUACAGCUCUUGUAGAAUUUGUCUAGCAGGUUUUCUGGUCCCCACCAGAAGACCCCU